GCAGGAAAGAGGGAGAGCAGGAGAGAGGGGGAGGAGAGCCGCCUGAGCGCUCUGAUCAGAGCAGACUGUUCAGAGGGAAUCCUGGAGAGCUGCUUUCCAUAGGCCCUGCUGCUGCUGAUUUUGGCCUGUGCACUCCUGCAGGGCUGCUGAGGAGCACAGAGACAGACUCUGUGACACACCGCUUGGAUACCAGAGGGUUGAAUUGAAAACAUUGCAAAACAACAACAUGUGUAACACUUUGAAAACGUUUUAAAUAUUUAAAUGUCAGUCACUACAGUGUAACAGCAUGUAGUUAAUGUAGCUGUAUUCUGAUGUCUAGCUUUAAUUUCUUCAAUAUUUGUUGUCUGGCUGGCUGACGUCAGGAACAGGACAAGUCACUAGCAAACUGAACAAUGCGAUGUCCCGGCCGCUUCCGAUUAGUGCCUGAACUCCGGAUUACUGUUCCCUGCAGCGUGCUGGCUGCUCCUCCUGUCUGCAGGCUCAACGCAGCUAGAUAAUGAAAGCAUGGAGCUGGGAGCAACUCGGUGUGCAGCUAAAAACAUUGUGCCACUGUUAGAUUUUCAGUUUUGAUUUACUGGUUCCUUGUUGUGUUUGUGUUUAAUAGCAUUCAACAAUAAACCCUUUUAUUACAGUU